AUUGAACGCUGGCGGCAUGCUUUACACAUGCAAGUCGAACGGUAACAGGUCUUCGGAUGCUGACGAGUGGCGAACGGGUGAGUAAUGUAUCGGAACGUGCCCAGUAGUGGGGGAUAACUACUCGAAAGAGUGGCUAAUACCGCAUGAGAACUGAGGUUGAAAGCGGGGGACCUUCGGGCCUCGCGCUACUGGAGCGGCCGAUAUCAGAUUAGGUAGUUGGUGGGGUAAAGGCCUACCAAGCCGACGAUCUGUAGCUGGUCUGAGAGGACGACCAGCCACACUGGGACUGAGACACGGCCCAGACUCCUACGGGAGGCAGCAGUGGGGAAUUUUGGACAAUGGACGCAAGUCUGAUCCAGCAAUGCCGCGUGCAGGACGAAGGCCUUCGGGUUGUAAACUGCUUUUGUACAGAACGAAAGGGACUCUGGUUAAUACCUGGGGCAGAUGACGGUACUGUAAGAAUAAGCACGGCUAACUACGUGCCAGCAGCCGCGGUAAAG
rnacentral:rRNA from 1 species